GAGGGCAUAGCUCAGGUGGUAGAGUGCAUGCUUAACAUGUGUGAGGUCUUGGGUUCAAUUCCCAGCCCCUCU
rnacentral:tRNA from 1 species